rnacentral:lncRNA from 1 species
UGGCAACACGGAUGGGCACCAAAGCUGCUUCCAGCAGACCCCAAAGCACAGCCCAGCACCCAAACCAAAUGCUCUCUCCACCUCCAAGCAUUGCACAUAUGCUUGACAGGAGUCCAGGCACAAGACAGACUAGUCCAUGCUGUGUCAGUGCCCAAAGAUAAGCAGCGAGGGUGGUGUGUUCACAAUCCAUUGCUCAGUGACAUCACAGCCUGUUGUAUGUCACUGCAGUCCAUCUGUCCCCACAACACUCACUCCAGCAUCACCUCCCAUUUUGCCUUCUCCUGGGUACCGCUGUUUUCCAUCAGGCUCCGAGGACUGAGGAUACUUGCUCAAUCCUUUCCUCAUUUCCUCUUCUGUCACGUUUUCUCAAUGCCUGAUCAUUUCCGUUGCUGAUCACUCAGAGGGAAGAAUAAUUGGCACAGAAAACACAAGGGUAGCCAAGAAGUUAUAAAUGGAAUGGCAUUAAUAGCAAGCAUGCACUGAAAGAUACAAGUUGAUUGUUAAGCUAAUUAAAAGUAAUGGUAUAGAGUCAGAAAAAAUAUGUUCUGGCUCAGUGUUAUCUGGUUAUGUCAAAAAUAUAACGGAAAAUAACUUUAUACUACUUCAAAUGGUCUAAAUAUUAAUUAAAUUGCCUUUAGAUGCACCCAAAUCUAAGUUUGUUAUAGAAAUUAUCUGCAGAGAUUUGAUCUCCUCCUCAAGAACAAUAAAGAAGAAUGUAUCCCUAAGGUGUUAGGCA